rnacentral:rRNA from 1 species
CAGUCGAACGAAGCACUUAAGAAUGAUUCUUCGGAUGAAUUUUUAUGUGACUUACUGUCGGACGGGUGAGUAACGCGUGGGUAACCUGCCUCACACAGGGGGAUAACAGUUGGAAACGACCGCUAAUACCGCAUAACCCGCUAGGGCCGCAUGGCCCGGACGGAAAAGAUUUAUCGGUGUGAGAUGGACCCGCGUUGGAUUAGCUAGUUGGCAGGGUAACGGCCUACCAAGGCGACGAUCCAUAGCCGGCCUGAGAGGGUGAACGGCCACAUUGGGACUGAGACACGGCCCAAACUCCUACGGGAGGCAGCAGUGGGGAAUAUUGCACAAUGGGGGAAACCCUGAUGCAGCGACGCCGCGGGAGUGAAGAAGUAUUUCGGUAUGUAAAGCUCUAUCAGCAGGGAAGAAAAUGACGGUACCUGACUAAGAAGCCCCGGCUAACUACGUGCCAGCAGCCGCGGUAAUACGUAGGGGGCAAGCGUUAUCCGGAUUUACUGGGUGUAAAGGGAGCGUAGACGGCUAAGCAAGUCAGAAGUGAAAGGCUGGGGCUCAACCCCGGGACUGCUUUUGAAACUGUUUGGCUAGAGUGCUGGAGAGGUAAGCGGAAUUCCUAGUGUAGCGGUGAAAUGCGUAGAUAUUAGGAGGAACACCAGUGGCGAAGGCGGCUUACUGGACAGUAACUGACGUUGAGGCUCGAAAGCGUGGGGAGCAAACAGGAUUAGAUACCCUGGUAGUCCACGCCGUANACGAUGAAUACUAGGUGUCGGGGAGCNCAGCUCUUCGGUGCCGCCGCAAACGCAAUAAGUAUU